rnacentral:rRNA from 1 species
AGAGAAGCGCAAACGGUGGAUGCCUUGGCAGUAAGAGGCGAAGAAGGACGUGGAAUCCUGCGAAAAGCUAUGGGGAGCUGGAAACGAGCGUUGAGCCAUAGAUGUCCGAAUGGGGGAACCCGGCUGCAGCGAUGCGGUCAUUUGCAUUUGAAUACAUAGGAUGCAAAGGCGAACUCGGGGAACUGAAACAUCUAAGUACCCGAAGGAAAAGAAAUCAAGAGAGAUUCUCCAAGUAGCGGCGAGCGAACGGGGAGGAGCCUGGCGUGAUUUAUUAUUGAACUGAGUAGAACAAUUUGGGAAAGUUGGCGAUAGAGGGUGAAAGCCCCGUAUACGAAGGUUUGAUGAGGAACUAGGCACGCGAACAAGUAGGCCGGGACACGUGAAAUCCUGGUUGAAGAUGGGUGGACCAUCAUCCAAGGCUAAAUACU